rnacentral:tRNA from 1 species
GCGACAUUAGCUCAGUUGAUAGAGCGGUACCUUGCCAAGGUACAGGUCAUCGGUUCGAACCCGAUAUGUCGCUCCA